UACGUAGGGUGCAAGCGUUGUCCGGAAUUAUUGGGCGUAAAGAGCUCGUAGGCGGUUUGUCGCGUCGGGAGUGAAAACCUCGGGCUUAACUCGGGGCUUGCUUUCGAUACGGGCAGACUGGAGGUAUGCAGGGGAGAACGGAAUUCCAGGUGUAGCGGUGAAAUGCGUAGAUAUCGUAAGGAAGACCAGUGGCGAAGGCGGGUCUCUGGACAGUUCCUGACGCUGAGGCACGGAAGGCCAGGGGA
rnacentral:rRNA from 1 species